rnacentral:rRNA from 1 species
GACGUAGAGCGCGAGCGUUGUCCGGAUUUAUUGGGCGUAAAGAGCUCGUAGGCGGCUUGUCGCGUCGAAUGUGAAAACUCGGGGCUCAACUCCGAGCUUGCAUUCGAUACGGGCAGGCUAGAGUUCGGUAGGGGAGACUGGAAUUCCUGGUGUAGCGGUGAAAUGCGCAGAUAUCAGGAAGAACACCCGUGGCGAAGGCGGCUCUCUGGGACGGUACUGACGCUGAGACGCGAAAGCGUGGGGAGCGAACAGG